UCUGGAGACAGGUGCUGCAUGGCUGUCGUCAGCUCCGUGUCGUGAGAUGUUGGGUUAAGGUCCCGCAACGAGCGCAACCCUUGCCUUUAGUUGCCAGCAGUUCGGCUGGGCACUCUAAAGGGACUGCCGGUGUUAAACCGGAGGAAGGUGGGGAUGACGUCAAGUCCUCAUGGCCUUUAUGACCAGGGCUACACGCGUACUACAAUGGCCGAUACAAAGGGCAGCGACACUGCGAGGUGAAGCCAAUCCCGUAAAAUCGGUCUCAGUCCGGAUUGGAGUCUGCAACUCGACUCCAUGAAGUUGGAAUCGCUAGUAAUCGUGGAUCAGCAUGCCACGGUGAAUACGUUCCCGGGCCUU
rnacentral:rRNA from 1 species